rnacentral:lncRNA from 1 species
AAGCAUAAUAUUCUCUCCCUUAAUUAUAGCAAAACAACUAUUCCAUCCUUACAACUUUGCAAAGAAUGACUCUUGUUUUCUAUAAUUAAUAUUGCUAACUUGCAAUACUUUCCUUAAUAAUCAUACAAUCAUAACAUUUAUGCUCCCACUAUCAUGAUGAUUAUUAUAAACAUAACACUUAUGCUCCCACUAGCUUUGACAUGUAUUCAGAAACAACUUAACUUUUAGAAAAACAAUACCUAUUGAAUUUCUUAAGUUCAUGUUUCUAAUACCUAAUGCUUUGAUAAUCCUUUAUCUAAGCUUAUACACUUUUCCUUUAGAUAGCUCAUAUGUGUGUCUAAACAAUUUAGACUAAUUGCCAAAUCUCACAAUUCGAAUUAUGGAAAGGGAUAGCGUAACCAUAAUCGACUUCGAGAAUUCAAUUUCACAAUCACUAUUUUCUUAAAACUUUUCUUAGUGAAAGCAUUUCCUCACAGUCAUUUUCAUGAAGGAGGGAAUCUUAUGACACUUAGAUUUUAAUGGUGUAUGUGUUCCUAUUCAUGUGAAUUUUUCAAAACCAAAGUUUACGACAAAUUCAAACUCAUAUGGACCGAACUUUCUUAAUCUUGAUUUCUUGCCUUAUGGUAGCACAGCUGCCCACCAUGUCUUCCAAGUAGUUAAGCAGCUCACCUUUUCUUAUCAAUGUACUUUUCAUUGAUCAAGGUCCUUGCCUUUUAUGCAUUCAAAUGAGAACUCAUAGAACUCACAUGCAUAAUUAACUCGAUUGGAUUGGCACAGAAACAAAAUAAUGUCAACACGAUAGGUUGUAAACCUCAACUCGUGUGCUAGUGAUGAUCGAUAAGGUUAAUUUGAUUUGUUCUUGAAACCUUUCAAGACCAUUAAGACUCCCACUGACUCCUUGACAUAUAAGAUUCUUUUGCAAUUAAACAUUUCUUGACAAACAAAUAUUCAAGAGUUAGUCUAGUUUUUAUUAAAACACUUCAUAAAUGGGUCCUAGUUGGUCUUUGUCUUAUCCAAGACAUCACAACUUUCCUCAUUUGAUGAAUGUUAUAAACCUUCUUAAUAGUUGUCACUCAUUGCCACAAUCUUAACUCUAAGACUUGUUUGGAACGAAGUAUGAUUGACUUCUUGAUUUUAACCAUUUCUUCCAUUCUUGAUUCUUCUUCUUAGACAUACAAUUGUACUAAGACUCCCUUAGAGGAUCAAUUGAGAUAUGGUUCUUAAUCAUCAAGACCUAUCAUAAAGCAUAAAAGGUACUCUCCCUUCUUCCUAGAAUGGAGAAACUUUUAUCUUUCUGCCUACUUGAUUCUUCUUAUUCGUUCUGCUAUUGAUUUAAACUUUUUCAAUCAAUUCAGAAUUACACUUAAUCUUGUAAGUAUAAUCAUAUUUACUAAACCUUUAGUAAAUCAUGACGAAUAUCUUUGUUACUCUUAUGGUGGACUUGAUCAACACGCAACUUUGUGUACUCGAUCUCCUAGUCCUUCACUUGACACUUUGUCAAUGAAUUAGUCUAAUUUCCAAAUAUGAAAUUUCUCAUUCAUCGUGCAACCAAGUUGCAUGAUUCCAAGUUUCUGUCCAAUUGAAACUUGGGCGAUGAGAAACUCUCCCUAUUUGGUAAACUCUCGACUUUCCAUAAAUAACAUAAUAAGAACCAAAUCCAUUAUUGCUAAUAAUAGAAACAUUCAAACAUCAAUUUUUCAUAUACGCCAUUGCAAGGAUAAAUAAAUAAUAUAAAAUCAAAAUUUAUUUUAUUGCGGAAAAAAUUUGUCCUUACAAUGCAAUUCAUUGAAAAACUAUGCUAAUACAUCUUUCUUAGCAAUCUAAUUCUAACUCUAAGUAGUAGCUCAAGAAUCUAAUCUUCGAGAAAUGCGAUCGAAAUCCAUUCCUUCACGGUUAGAUUCUGCUCACUUCUUCCCUUAAGCUUCCUUUCUUUUCUUCGAUCCUACAAAACAUCAAUUGUAAUCUUAUCACAUUAUGUAUUAAGAAUCUAGAAUAGAAGCUUAAAAGAGUUAGUUAAUGGAUUUUACCUAUAUUAGAGCCAUACGUUUCGACUCUCCCAUCUCUUAGAUCUCUUAGGUAAAUGGGGCAGCUUCGUCUCCAAUGCCCUUUCUCUUGGCAAUAAAAGCAAAUUGACUCUUUUGGAACAUGACAUGGAACUACUUCAGACAUUGCCUUUCUCUUAUGAUCAAACUUUUCGAUCAUAGCAUGUCUUUCGUUGCCAUUGUCUAUAUCCAUAGAGGUCUUGAAGGCAGAUUCACCAAUCAACUUUGCUUUUCUAUUGCGCCAAACCAUUGCUGAUUCAGCAGCAAUAAGCAUAUAGGUGAGAUCUAUAAGGGUCACGUCGCGGUUCAUCAUAUAGUACUCUCUUACGAACUCACUAUAUGAGUUAGGAAGUGACUGAAGAACCCAAUCAACAGCCAUUUCCUCACAGACAACGGAUCCCAACAUUCUUAACCUAUCAAUGUGUGACUUCAUCCCUAGGACGUGUGCACACACCGACUUUCCUUCUUUAUGUUUACUUGCCAAAAGGGCUUGAGUGAUCUUGAACUUUUCAAGCCUUUGAACUUGUGGGUUAGGGAGAAUAAUUGGAGGAGGAGGAGGAAGUGAAGCAUGAUUUCUUGUUCCUCGAUCGAAUCGUGGAAUAUCAUCUUCAUGUGGAAUGCUUGUUCCACGGGAUUUGGGAAGACCAUAGUUGUCGAACUUUGACAUCUACAAAACGGGAGAAAACGAAUUCAAGUUAGUUGAUUGAUUGAGUCCUUAGUAAAUCACCCAAAUGAGAUACUAAGGCUAGGACCCAACACAAUAUUCUACAACUCGGGAGAGGGAUGCCGUAACCCUAAUUGCAGAAUAUUUGAAGGUAAGUGAAUGACGAUUCACUAAUUUCCACCAUGAAAAACGAAAAAGAAAUUUAAGUUUUAAAUCUAUGAAAACUCCUAGAUCCUUUGAGAUUCAUUGAACUUUCAAUGGCAUGUUUAAAUCUCGAUAUGCCCCUCUUGUUUGUGACUGGGAUGCCGAGGAUCACAAAGCGGGUGUGAAUAACCAUGCAAACUUACAUGGUGCCCUCACAUGUUACAGUCACCUAUUCGAUGUGCCGGUAAACCACACACGCUCCACCGAACUAUGACAAACAUUGAGUCACCCUUUGCUACCUUUGCUUAGAACCAUUUAGUGUGCCGGUAAACCACACACGCUCCACUAACGUCUUCGCAAGGGCACAAAGUGUAAUUUCAUGGAAUUGCAUCAAUUCACUUUUGCCUAAGUAACUAAGAUUGGGAAUUUUAUGAAAACAUUUAGUUACUUUAAUAAUUCAUUAUACUUAUAAUGGAAGGUUUCGUCCUAUCCUACCCGUUCGGCUAACGACCCUCCACUAGUCAAGAGUGCGGUGGGUAAGAGUGGAUACCCAUUCAAUCGCCAUUUUAUAGGCAAUUUCCUUAAACACCCCUUAUAGACCAGCUUCGUGAAUGAGGCCUACUAACGGUAAGACUGACUUUUACUCAUACAUAUAUAUAAUGUUAGACUUUUAAUGUUAUAUAUAGUAUAGGGUGUAUUUUACACUUUUAAAAUACUAGGUGGUCUAAUUUAACAAUUAUACUUUUAAUUCAAUUAAAUUGUAAACCUAAACUUUUAUGGAUUUAUUAAACCUCUUUUAAUUAUACACCUUAAUUAAUUAAUAAAACCAUAAGGGUGUGAUUUGAACUUUUUCAAAACAAUACUAGGGUUUUAGAAUUUAACAUUCCUAAUUAAACUUUUAAUCAACUUUUAAAUUCCAAAACUUGAGGGCAAGUUUUGAAACAUUUCAAAACAUUAGGGUUUAGAAUUUAAAUAUACAUCAAAAUUAAACUUUUAAUCAAAAUUUAAAUUCCAAAACUUGAGGGCAAGUUUUGAAACCUUUUUCAAAACAUUAGGGUUUCAACUAUUUAAAUUUCAAAACAAAACUUUUGAGUUCAAAUUUAAACUAUAAAACCUAAAGGGGAAAAUAUGAAACUUUUCAUAACACAAGGAUCAAAUAACAAAUAAUCUAAAUUAACAUUUAAUCACAUAAUUAUCCAUAUUUGAUUUAUUUAAUGAUUUCUUGCAAAACAAUUUACCAAUUUAAUCAAAAUAAUUAAUCAAUUAUCACAUAAGGAAAUAAAUAUUUUAUUAAUUGAUAAAUAUCUUCAAUUAGAUCAAGAAUAUACUCAUAUAUAUCAUAAAAUCGGAUUUAUAUUGAUCUAAUAUGAUAAAGGCAAGUAUCUCAAAGAUAAACAGCAAGAAAUCCCGAAAAUAGCUCCAUCUGACGCUCGAACUCGCCGAGUACCACACUGUACUCGCCGAGUUGAGGCGUACUCGCCGAGUACACUGUGGUACUCGCCGAGUUCAUCAGCCAGGGAGCCCAAAAAUCGAUUUUGCAACUUGAAUAAACACAUAAUGCAUCAAUACAAUAGAAACCAAUCAAGGCUCUGAUACCACUGAUGGGUUUUGGUCAUAAGAACAUCCUAUGUGCUCAUACAAACCCUAAUGCUUGGAUCUAGGUUUCUCUAUUGUACAUGCAAUUUAUCCAAGACUAUAAACCCUAGAUCUAGCAUAUGAUAAUCAAUAUAACAUAUAAUUAGGGUUUAGAUCAUACCUUGAUUGUUAUGUAGCAAUAACAAUCUCAAAUCCUUCUUGUAUUGACUUUAGAAAGCUUAGAGUCACAAAUGUCACUCCUCUAAUGGUUCACAAACACCAAGAGCAAGAGGAUGAAGAAGAGAAGAGAAGGAGGCUGCCCAAAACGUGUGGAAACCCUAGACAACAAGUUCACCACGUUUUUGGGGCAUAAGGGCUCUUUAAAUAGUGAGGCUAUUAGGGUUAUCUAACAAGGAAACCCUAAUGUGGAUGCUUAAGCCCUAAGCAACCCAUGGACUCCUUUCCUUAAAGGCCUUGGACAAUUUCUAAUGGGUUUCCCCAUAGAAUUCGUCCACCUAAUAAUAUAAGGCAAUCCAUAGCCCAAAUUGCAAUUAUCUUAUAAUUAUAAUUCCAGUCCCUUAAGUUUAAUUAAUCUCUUUUAGUCACAAAACUAAUUACCAGUUAAUUCUUGACUAAUAUUAAUUAAAUAAUAUGAUUUCUCCUUUAAUAUAUUAUUCUCAUAAUAUAUUAAUAAAUCAUAUUUAAUCCUUUCUCUUCAUAAUUCAUCCUAUCAAGUUGCUUUGGUGAAGGCAACCCAAAAGGACCAUGCACCAUUGGGUCAAGUACAUACCAAAAUAGUUAUGGACUUAGACACUAAUCCAACAACAAUAUGUUGACAUAUAAUAGAUAACAUCAUAAACAAAUAAACAUAAAAUAUCACAGGUAGUCCUACAGAUCUACCAAACUAGCAUAUCAAGACUAGCAUGCAUAUCUAUUCCAUACUCAACAUAUCAACAAUAACAGGUUAUCAACCAAUGGGUGUGCCUUGGUGCCUUCGACCCGAAAGUAUAGUGAGGAAAACUCACCUCACAAGCUGAAUAGAACUGAUAAGGCCCGACUCCGAAUCUCAACUCUCAACUCAAAUGCCUACAACCACCAAGUGACCAAUUACAUCAAAAUCCCAACAAUACUCUAAAUACCCUCAAAAGUCAAACUUGGUCAAACAUGGUUAAUCCUAAAGUCAACUAGUCAAAGUCCAUAAACCCAAUCGAGUUAACUCAAUGUUGGCUGACCCAAGCGAGUGCAUAGGGCAUACUCGGGAGGUACGCUCAGCGUACACACAUCUUCGCAGAGAACCACCAUCGGGGUGGCAAGCCGGGUACACGGGGUGUACACUAGGCUACGCGGGGUGUACCCUCGCAGGCCCAACUUCUUCAUUAAGUGCUUAAUGGCUUUAGCACUUGAGCUUAUACUUCAUAUCCAAGGUCUAGAGGCAGACUACGGUCAUAAAGUCCCCAAAUAUAUGACUUUUCUCAUCCAAAAAUCCUUAAUGCAAGGUCUUAAUCCGUUAUGACCUUCUAAAAGAAGCAUGGAGCUAAACUAGCUAAAGGGGCCUCAUUUUUAUGGCUUAGGACCCUUACUAGGGUCUGAAAGGACAACCCAAAACGUCCAAAACCAAACAUGCAUUUAAAUGGGACUUUGAGACAAAAAAAACAACAUAAAGCUACCAAAAAUGAGAUCCAAGCAAACAAAGCAUCAAGGAGAAGACUUUUUACCCCUAGAGCUUCCCAAGAAGGUGAUGAUCCAAGAUCCACAAGCUUGCUUCACCUUCUAAGCUCCUUGAUGCAACUCCUUCUUCUUUAUGCACACAAAGGAUACACUUUUAGCUCAAAAUACACUCUUAUGGGGUUAGGGUUAUCCAAAAACGACUCAAGGGAUUAGAGGCUGAAAAGAUGGAGGUAAAUGAUACAUAAAGAUGCUUAAAUACCCCCACAAACCCUAAAAAUUAGGGUUUCACUCGGACAUUAGUACGCCCAACAUACAUAUGUGUACGCCCAGUGUACUGGCGUAUGCCCUAGUACGCUUAGCGUACUCACGUGUAUGCUUAGUGUACUCCUUCCGCAUCCAAAUUACAAACUUGCCAUUAGGGCUUCCUAUGGCUACUUCCUUCCAAUCUGAGGACCAAAAUUACAUAAUUAAUACCAAGGGAUGAAUUUGAAAAUACCUGAUAACCAGGGUGUUAUAACUCUCCUCCACUUGAACUAGAAUUAGUCCUCGAAGUCCGAUGUCGCGAACAAGUUCAGAUAAUGCUCCCACAUCUCAGCCUCUGGAUCCCAGGUCUACUCGGAGCCCCCCUGAUGUUGCCAUCGUACCUUUACCAAAGGUACUUCCUUGCUACGCAAAACCUUUACUUUCCUCUCCAGAAUAGCUAAUGGCCUCUCAACAUAGUUUAGAUGCUCAUCAACCUGAAUAUCGUCUAAGGAAACCACCACAUCCUCAUCCAACACGCACUUUCACAGCUGUGAAACAUGGAAUGUGUUGUGAAUCUGACUAACCACCUUAGGAAGAUCCAAUAUGUAAGCAACCUUGCCAACCAUGGAAAUAAUCCAAAAUGGCCCAAUAAAUCGGGGACCCAAUUUCCCUUCUUCCUAAAGCGAAUUACACCUUUCCAAGGUGAGACUUUCAGUAACACCAUGUCGCCGACCUGAAACUCCAACUCGAAUUGCAUCGGUCGGUAUAGAUCUUCUGCCGACUCUGAGCAUUUUGCAAUAUCUUCCUGAUAUGCUGAAUCAUCUCCAUCAUGUGAAGGACCACCUCGGUCAGCCUCAUAACCCUGUGACUAACCUUGCCCCAGCAAACCGGGGUACGAAAUCUCUACCCAUAUAGGAGCUUAAAAAGCAGAGCACCAAUGAUGGAGUGAAAUCUGUUGUUGUAGGAGAACUCCGCAAGAGGUAGGCAAUAGUCCCAACUCCCACCAAAAUUAAUGACACAUGCCCGCAACAUAUCCUCAAGGGUCUGUAUCAUCCACUCACUCUGGUUGUCGAUCGAUGGAUGAUAAGUCGUACUGAAGUGCAACCUCAUGCCCAGUUCUUCAUGGAACGUCUACCAAAAAAACGGAGGUGAACCGAACAUCAUGGUCUGAAACAAUGGAGACCGGAACCCCAUGGCGAGCAAUGAUCUUGCAAAUAUACACAUCAGCCAACUUCUCGGCCGAAGAACUCUCCCGAAUCGCCAGAAAGUGGGCACUCUUGGUCAAUUGAUCCACGAUGACCCAAAUAGCAUCAAAACCCUUUGCCGUCUUCGGUAACUUGGUGAUGAAAUCCAUCAAAAUCUAAUCCCAUUUCCACAUGGGAACCUCCAUAGGAUGCAGCUUACAAUGCGUUUUUGGUGCUCAGCCUUGACCAUCCUACAAGUCAUGCACCUCUCCAAGUACCAGGCGAUCUCCCUCUUCAUAAACGGCCACCAAUAGCUUAAUCUCAUAUACUGAUACAUCUUGGUGGCCCCGAAUGGAUAAAAAACGAGACUUAUGAGCCUCCUCCAACACAAUCUGUCUGAUCCCACCAGACAUAGGAACCUAUACCCUAGCACAACAGGUCAACAAUCCACGACUAUCCGGAACAAAUCGGGCGAUCUCACCCCUGAUCCUCUUUAUCUUCCGGUUCUCUUCCCGAAAACCCUCUUCCUGAGCCUCCCCAAAUAAUCCCAAAAGCAUAGAAUCCAUUGAUAUCCUUAUACAUGAUACCCCAAUUGAACACCCAGCCGACUUGUGGCUCAAAGCAUCCGCCACCACAUUCGCUUUACCCGGAUGGUAAAGGAUCUCGCAAUCAUAAUCCAUGAUUACGUCCAGCCACUUGCGAUGUCUCAUGUUCAUGUUCGGUUGAUCCAUAAUAUGUCUCAAACUCUUUUGGUCCAUGUAAAUAGUACAUCAGACCCUAUAAAGAUAAUGCCUCCAAAUCUUGAGGGAAAAAACCACUGCCCCCAACUCUAGAUCAUGUGUGGGAUACCUCGUCUCGUGCGGCUUCAGCUGCCGCAAAGCAUAUGCUAUCACUUGUCCUCUCUGCAUGAGGACCGCUCCUAAACCAUUGAUGGAAGCAUCAUAGAAUACCACAAAAUCCUCAAUGCCCUCUGGGAGGGUCAAAACUGGGGCCUCACGUAAUCUCUGCCAAAGGGUCUCAAAUGCCGAUUGUUGCUUAGGGUCCCACCCGAAAUCCACCCUCUUCCUCGUCAGACUAGUGAGGGGUACUACAAUCUUGGAGAAAUCCUCAAUGAAUCUCUGAUAGUACCUUACCAAACCCAAGAAACUCCAGAUAUCCGAAGGAGAUUUAAGAAUCUCCAACUGCAUCACCGCCUCGAUCUUGGCCGCAUCGACCAAUAUCAUAUCCUGAUUAACGAGGUGUCCAAGGAACUGAACCUCUCGUAACCAAAACUCACACUUCAAGAACUUAGCAUAAAGUCAUUCUCACUUCAAAACCCCCAGAAGCUCACGAAGAUGCUCCUCAUGCUACUCCCUGGUCUUGAAAUAUACCAAGAUAUCAUCAAUAAAUACGAUAACUGAACGAUCGAGCAUCGACCUACAUACUCGAUUCAUCAGAUCCAUAAAUACCACAGGCGCACUGAUGAGCCCAAAUGGCAUCACCACGAACUCGUAAUGCCCAUAACAAGUACGGAACACGGUCUUCUCCACGUCUUCCUCUCCAACCCUGACCUAAUUAUAUCCAGACCUCAGAUCUAUCUUGGAGAACCAAGAUGCACCCUACAACUGAUCAAAGAGGUCACCAAUCUGUGGAAAGGGAUAACGGUUCUUCAUAAUUAGCUUGUUCAUCUUUCGGUAAUCAAUACACAUUCGAUGUGAACCAUCCUUCUUCUUGACGAAAAAAAUCGGCGCUCCCCACGGAGAACUACUCGGUCUAAUGAACUACUUGCCCAGCAGCUCCUGCAGCUGAGAUGACAACUCCUACAUCUCAGGAGGUGCUAAGAGAUACAACACCUUAGCAAUCAGGGUCGCACUUGGCACAAGGACAAUCAUGAACUCAACUUGUAUCUCAGGAGGCACACCGGGCAACUCCUCCGAAAACUCAUCGGCAAACUCCGUGACAAUCAGGACCUCUGAAAUUGAAACCUGAUCCCCAACAUGCGUAUCCACCACAUAAGCCAAAUAAACUGCACACUCAUAUUGAAUAUACUAUUGAGCUCUAACUGUAGAACAAAACCUUGAACCCAUCCUGGUGCCUUCUCCAUAGAUAAUUAGUUCUCCCCCACUUGGGGUUCGAACUACUAUGCGUUGGCCCUCACAUUCAAUCAUAGCACCAAAAUAGCUCAUCCAAUCAAUGCCCACAAUCACGCAGACAACCCCUUAGGGAUAGGGAUCAAAUCGAUCAGAAAAGGCACCCUAAAGAUUUCUAGAAUACAAUCUUGAUACACUGAUGAUGCAUAAACCCCAUGUUCGUUGGCGAUAGAAACUGGCAACAAACACUCUAGCUCCCCAAUGGGCAUAUCGAACUCUCUACUGAAUGAUCGAGACACAAAAGACCGACUCGCACUCGAGUCAAACAACACUAGAGCAGGCAAAGAGUUCACGAGAAACAUACCUAGUAGAGGCACACAGAUAAGCAUAACAUAAAACAUAAUCAAUAGAAUAAUGGAUAGAAAUAUACCAUUCACAACAUCCGGAGCUGCUCUAGCCUCCUCGGCAGUAAGCUGGAAAGCGCGACCUCAAGCCCUUGGGGGCUCCGCCCUGCUCAGACUCCCAUCAAUGAUCAUCAAAGUAGCUGGCACUAGAGCCUGCGUCGACCUAGCAGAAGCGAUGGGCAGUUGGCCUUCACAUGGCCAACCUAGUUGCAAUGAUAACACAUCCUGGAACUGAGUGUUAGGUCCUGUUGGCGGAAAUCCCAUGCCAUAUGGCCCCGCUGGCCAUAAUUGUGGCAUCUAGAAGAUGAUCGACAAGCACCCUCAUGCACCUUGCUGCACUUCACACAAGUGUGGCCCUUCCGGCCCCUAGAUCUGACAUCAGCAGUCUUAAACCGCUCUGGCGUAGGUUGCGACUACGUCGGGGCCAACCUCUACUCCCUCGUCUGUAAAUCAAUCUCAAUCUCACGCCUCCUGGCGGCCUUCUGCAUCUCCAGCAAAGUACGAUAGCUCUGGGUGGAAAAAAAUUAUCUGAUCUCCGUCUUGAGCAUAAGUCCCUAAAGGGCAUUUUUGUAAGGAGAGUGAGGGAGUUCUUGGUUUAUGUAACUUGGAGUAUACUCAAGUUAAGGUGGAGAUUAUUAAAUAGGACUUGAGAAUUGAAGCCAUGGAAGACUUGUAUAAGCAUUUUGAAAAACAUUAUUGCAUUCUAAAUGAGGUGGAACGUGAUAAUGAACAAUGGUGCAACUGUACCCCUGGUUACACAAAUGUGAUCUUACAGAAAAGAAGUGUCCCUGGUUGUGCAAAGAUGAUAUAUUGAAUAAAGGUGCUCCUAUGAAGAGAAUGUGAUAUUAGCAAGAUAAUGCUAAGUCGAAAAAGUGUUUAGUCUUUUGGGAGAUGUGUUGGAGGCAUCAAGAUGUGCUCUUGGUCAUUAGUGUGUACUCUCUCUUCAGAAAAAUGUGACACCCUUGAUCAAUAUCCGCAACCCUUGAUCAGGAUGCACCCUUUUGGAGCAGGAUACACCCCAUUGGAGUAGGAUGCACCCCUUGGAACACGAUGCUCCCCCUUCAUAGCUAAGUGUGCCCCAAUUAUUAUGUUGGGGCAAGUUAUGUGCGGCCCCAGAUGUAUGGUCAGUGCCUAUGCACAUUUCCAAGGUGAAAGUCUCAAGAAGUGAUUAUGUGACAUCUUUUAAUUUGUUCACAUUAGUUUGGCCCUAAGAUUAGAUGAGUCGAUCCCAUUAAGAUUUUAGGUCCAAUCCUGACAUAUAUAUAUAUAUANNNNNNNNNNNNNNNNNNNNNNNNNNNNNNNNNNNNNNNNNNNNNNNNNNNNNNNNNNNNNNNNNNNNNNNNNNNNNNNNNNNNNNNNNNNNNNNNNNNNNNNNNNNNNNNNNNNNNNNNNNNNNNNNNNNNNNNNNNNNNNNNNNNNNNNNNNNNNNNNNNNNNNNNNNNNNNNNNNNNNNNNNNNNNNNNNNNNNNNNNNNNNNNNNNNNNNNNNNNNNNNNNNNNNNNNNNNNNNNNNNNNNNNNNNNNNNNNNNNNNNNNNNNNNNNNNNNNNNNNNNNNNNNNNNNNNNNNNNNNNNNNNNNNNNNNNNNNNNNNNNNNNNNNNNNNNNNNNNNNNNNNNNNNNNNNNNNNNNNNNNNNNNNNNNNNNNNNNNNNNNNNNNNNNNNNNNNNNNNNNNNNNNNNNNNNNNNNNNNNNNNNNNNNNNNNNNNNNNNNNNNNNNNNNNNNNNNNNNNNNNNNNNNNNNNNNNNNNNNNNNNNNNNNNNNNNNNNNNNNNNNNNNNNNNNNNNNNNNNNNNNNNNNNNNNNNNNNNNNNNNNNNNNNNNNNNNNNNNNNNNNNNNNNNNNNNNNNNNNNNNNNNNNNNNNNNNNNNNNNNNNNNNNNNNNNNNNNNNNNNNNNNNNNNNNNNNNNNNNNNNNNNNNNNNNNNNNNNNNNNNNNNNNNNNNNNNNNNNNNNNNNNNNNNNNNNNNNNNNNNNNAUCUAUAAUACUAGCAUUUUUUAUUCAAAUUGUCAGCAUUUAUUAUCAUAUCCUAAAUAAUUUUUUUUAGGCUACUCCUAUGCCUAUAGUCCUAUAUAUUUGCUUUUAUUUAUGGAGUUGUGAUAAAUCAGCUUUAACUUUAUGAGCAACUAUAAAAAGCUGCUGUCUAUUUGUCCCUGUUAGAAAACGUUAAACACCAAACGCUGCUUUAAAUAAAUAUAUUUAGUGCCCCACGACAUAAUAAAGUGGACAUUUACAUGGGUAUACACAUAUUAUCCUUAUAAAUAUUCUAUUAUUAUUAUUAUUAUUAUUAUUAUUAUUAUUAUUAUUUUGGAACCAUGAUUUUAUUAAAAACUACAACAAACUAAAAAAAUUAUUAUAAUAAAAUUGUAGCAGAAAUAGAAUUAUAGCAAAAAUAAGAUUAUGAAGUCAAAAAGCUAACUAAACAUUUCUAACGAUUCUUUGGCAUACUCAUUAAUACAUGACAAUAAAACUUUAAAAUUACAUACGAAAGUGGGAUCAAGGUAAAAAUCAAUAGUUACAUAAGCCUUCGAACAUUUCAACUAACCAUCAAAAGCGACCACCCAUUCAAAAAAAUAAUUAUGAAGAACUCAAUAAACCAAGCAUACAAAUUUAGAUGAUUAAAUCAUCAAGUAAAUUAAAGAUUGAACCAAUUGGCAUCAACGAAGCAUAUAAAUCCAUGAUACAUGUAAGGAUAAUACAAAACAUAGUCAGACAUAAACAUUUGAACGGACCCGAUUAGAUCCUUAUCAACCAACUUCUAAGUUACGAAAAAACUUGUGUCUUUUUGGAGAGUUUUCCAUGAGAAAACUUCAAUAAUUCCCCACCCUUACCUGUAUCUAUCUAUCUAUCUAUUUAUCUAUCUAUCUGUCUCUCUCUCUCUCUCUCUCUCUCUCUCUCUCUCUCUCUCUCUCUAUAUAUAUAUANNNNNNNNNNNNNNNNNNNNNNNNNNNNNNNNNNNNNNNNNNNNNNNNNNNNNNNNNNNNNNNNNNNNNNNNNNNNNNNNNNNNNNNCUUUAUUCUUUAACUUGUUGGAUUAAGAUGUCUAAUGUCAUAACUAAAUUGAUAUAACUUUAUGGAAUAAAAACAAAUAUCUUUUUGGGUUGCCCUCAAGAACUAGAAAUAGCUAGAAACAACUUUAGGCGAGUGAGGAAAUAGUUUGUUAAUUAAUUUUUUGGUUAAUAACUUAAUUGGAAAUGGUUUAGAAUUAAUUGGAAAUUAGUUUUUGACUAACUAGAAGUAAUUAAAAGCACAAUGGUUGAACUGUAAAUUUUAAUAGUUAAGCAAAGAAGGUAAUUCUACAACCCUCCUACCUUAGACGAUUUCUAUUAGGUUCCAAAAGGGUUCUGGAUGCCUCUUAUAGCUGAUAAGGAUAAUCAAUUUGAAUAAGAUAAAUUUGGAAUAUUUAGUAUUCAAUUUAGGGUUUAUCCUGGUGACCCACCAACUAUAAAUAGAGACCCUAGACAUCAUAUUUUCGGCCAAACCUCUUGAUAAGAAGAAUCUGAAAAAUCUACUCCAACAUUCUCUCUCCUUUUUGUUUCUAGCAUUCUAGGGUUUUGGGUGUGAGCUAUCUGAUGUAUCUACACUAUUGGUGCUAGCUUGCCAAGGAAGACUUUAGAAUCAAGAAGUGUUAUAUACGAUUAUAACACAAGGUAUGCAUUCCAAUCGAUGUGAUUUUCUAGUAUACCUUGUUAUUUUAUAUUUUUCAUCGCAUGUUGUUAUUCUGAGAAAAGACAAAUCUCUACGUUUUUCCCAUAUAACAGUUUUAUGAUUCUGUUGCAUAUUUCAUUUGUUUUUUAACCUAGAAAUCUCAUCAUUGUUAUCAUAGCAUAGGGUUUUUUUUCUAUAAUAUGCACAUUGAUGAAAAACUGAAAAAAAAAAUCUAAAAAACUAGGUUUAUACUGAUUUUAUCGAAAAUUGCUAGCCUCGUAGGGUUUUCAAUUUAUUUUGUUUAUCUCUUGCCUUUUUCUAAAAUUAUAGAUAAUUACUAGCCCAAUAAACGUGAGAGCAAUCCAGUCAUAAUGUGUGGGCUCAAGGGCAAUCCAAUCAUAAGUUGUGGGAUUAUCUGAAGUACCUCGAAAUAUUUAAAUCCACAACUAUAAGCCAAAGGUUAGUGACUUCUCCUAAAAUAACCCACACAAUAAUACAUAUACAAUGCAUGCAUGCUAGGCCCACAACAUAAGACUGGAUUGCCCCUACCAAAACCCACAACUUAUUACUGGAUUGCCCCCGAGCCCACAACUUAUGACUAGAUUGCCCUCGAACCCACACAUUAAGAAUAGAUUACUCCUGGGUUUGUUGGUCUAUAACACAAAGCAGUACCCCCUCAACCCGACCGCACUAUGUCGACAUAUGCAUAAAACAAUAACAAAACAGCAAACGUAAUCAUAGUAGAUCUACCAAUCUAACAGAUUGCUACUGCAUAACAACAUCAUAUACAUAAGAACACAUAUUUCAGUACAAUGUAUAGUGAGAAAACUCACCUUGCAGUCUACCAAAUAACCUCACAACUUUCACAAAUCUAAAAACCAGUACUACAUGUCACCUAAUCAACAGUCUGGGACCAAUCCCUAAAUUACAACUCAAAACCCUUAAAUUCACCUAAAGUCGAACUUGGUCAAAAUGUUAACGGUCAAAGUCUCCCAUCCGGCCACUAAGUCAUGACUGAUGUUCUGUCAUGUCGUGGUGGCUUCGAGACAAAACAAUUGCGAACACUACCUUUUCUCACGUCGUGAAGGCCAAUUCUUCAUGUCGUGGGAAUUGUUAUGACCUACUUAAUAUAAUAAGCUCCUAAUCGCUAAGGCCACUCAUCCACACUUUUCAGAAGGAUUUCAUACACCAAAAUACACCAGAAAAAUCCUUGCUUUAUGACCAUGCAUGUAUAAUAUAUGUCCUUCCCAAACCUAGGUCAAAAAGGGAUAAUAAAUGGGUCAAAAUCCCAUGCAUGACAUCAAAACUACUAUUGUGAGUCCAUAUCUGAACAUACAAUGCUCUUGGGACCUUAGAGAGUAAUACAAUUGCUAACUUUUUCCCAACUCUAACUCAAAACUCAUCAAAAUGGACCAAAACACCAAAUACACAUAGAUCCAAAGAUGAAAUGUAAUAAAGUUGGGAACUUUAUAACUUACAAAGGUCUAGAAGUUAGAUGAAAGUUGAGAUAUUCAAUUGCAAAGCUUCAAGGAUCAAUAUUGCAUGAAAGCGUUACUCCAAAACCACCCAAAAAAAUCCAAAAUGGAUGAAAGAGGAGAGGGAGGCUCAAAGUGGUGAAAAUGAUGCUAGGGUUUCUCUCAAGAGACAUUAGAUAUGAUGGAGGAUUGGAAAAUACCCAAAUAACACGAAACCACCCUUUAAAUACUUAGAAAACCCUAAAAAUUCAUGAACUUGGGCUGCCCAGCACUCACCUCGUGAUGACUCAUCACAUCGUGAGAAAAUGCUCUUCGCCUCGUGACAAUGGGUUUUCACCCAAUUCAUCUCCAACUAUAAACAAUCAUAACUUCUCCGUUUCAACUCGACUUUCGGUGAUCUUUAUAUGCACGAAAAGGUAUUGACAAGCCCCAUAACCCUAUUUAAUUACUUUUGAUUUAAUACAUGUAGAACUAAAACCAUAAUCCAUGAAAGAAGCCUGAAAUAUUAUUUUCACAUUUUACUAUUUUGCUUCAAAGCACAAUUCAAGGGAUUAAUUAAUUAAUCUGACAUUAUCAACAUCCGAUUGGGUCUAAACUAUGUUACCUUGAAGCCCAAAAUCCUUACUCGAUCCAUUUACGGCCCGCUAUCCCAAUAUUAAAAACAUCAUAAAACUAGGUGAUAUAGUUCUCCACCACUUAAACUGGAUUUCGUCCUCAAAGUUUGACUCAAUUUAGAAUAUUUGGAAAGUGUACUAACAUAAUCUAUAUGUUCCCACCAACCAAUUCAUAUAAUCAAUACAUUUAUAUUAAACUCGAGAGACCAUUUAGAACCCAACUGAUUGCAACAAACAACCAAGUCAUUUGAAUUACUCAACCACAACAAUGUCCUUUCUCUCCAAAGUCUAACACCCAACAUAUAGAAAAAUCCACCCAAACAGGAACUCCCAACAGUCUAAACUCUAUAGACAUACAUGAUGGCUAACGAUCAUCCACUCAUCAUACUUAUCCCAUAUCUCUUACUAGGAACACCACUAAACAGUGCAUAACAAUGCUCAAAACAGUUCGAUCAAGAAUUUCAAUCCAUCCCAAAUUCAGAAAUCGCCUGAAAGUUAUCAAAUACAAACUUUGCUUCUAGACAAAUCAUCAUUAUCCCAUCAUUCACAAGAGUGUAAUAGUGGUCAAUCCGUAAGAAAAUUUUAGAAGACAUCCACAUUCCCAUACGCUCAGGGGUUCAAGUAUUUAACAAAUUAUCCAGGAUUCCUACAACGAACUUCAUCACUGGCAAGUCAACUCACUCAGAACUGUUCUCGCAACCACGGAUAAAGAUUCACUAAGAAAACUCCACGAGGAACUGAUGAUAAUAAUCGUGACUUUUACAACAAGUAAGACUCCUAGAAAACUCAACCCUAACCUGUCGGCUACUGACCAUCAUUAGUAUUUCCAUGAUGCUCAAAAUACCCAACUAUAUGACAGACCAACAGACCAAACACAUAAAUCUCUAUGAAACAACUGUCGGCCCAACACAUAAGUGAAAUCUACGAUGGUUCAUGACAUGUCAUGACACAAUCCAACUGUUGGAAUGAGAAGCUUACAAUUCCUCACCGUCUUCCCAUCACCUAACCACAGCCAUGAAGACUCCCAACCAGCACCCGGUGGGUCUAUAGGGACAUGACCAUCGUCCCACCGACCUACAUGAACUCAUUCAAUAUCCUACUUAUAGCUACCAACAACCUUAGAAGCCAUACCGUUCUAUAACAUGCAACCCUACCACAGUCUAAAUUGUUACCGACACACCAUCAGACAAAACAGGCUCACAUGUAACCUAGAAAUAAGAUAAACUGUCGAAUACUUACCCCAACUCGAAAGCAAUAAAUCAAAUAAGAACUAUUUCAUAAGGUCAGAAAGAGUUUUCUAUAGCUAUUACACUUAAUCCCCUUACGUUCCAUAAGACCUUAUUUGUUGGACUGGCAAAAUUUCACACUUCCUAAGAGAAAAUACAACGCUCCUCAGGCCAACUGUCUUCCUUCUUAAACGUAUCCUUACACAAUGGGUGAAGCACUACUGGAUCGAACAAAAUGUCAAACCUGAACUAUUAAAAGAAACAUUCCCCAAACAGCCAAAACGAGAUCCCGCGCCUUAGAUGAAGCUGAAUAGAUCCUUCCAUUGUACCAUUAGACUAAUAGAACUUCCAAAUUCAGAUAAGAAUUAAAAAAAUAAUGCAGAAAAUUUGCCGAUCCCCUAGUUGAAUAAAUCCUAAUACUAACCCAUUCAAUGCGACCUGCCAAAACUAGAUGUUGCAUAGACCACAAACACGCCUGAAAACUGAACAACAUUGCUCCGACAUCCGAACUCCUAAUAAACAAGGACAACUGCCAACUCAAGCCUACUAAGAAGAAUAGUUCUACAACUAAAUAGUCACGAAUACAUACACUGAGACCAAGAUAUAAAUCUCACAAAACUUGACAUGGCUCAUCAAUUGCAUCUUCAACUAGUACUGCCUAGAGGGCCUUGAAUAACAACUAGAUACUAAUGAGAAGGGAAAUGACCAAUCGAUCGAAAAUGGAUCAAAAACUAAAUCUAAUGAUCCCCUACACUAUUUACCAUAUCCCACGUGACAAGACACAUACCAAACUCUAAAGUUGGUCAACAAAUAAACAAUUGUCCACCCAUGACCUAAAUAACAAACCCAUACUGUGAGCCAACCUUUUACUUUUUAUCGAAUGCCCAACCUGAGCGACUGAAUCACUUAUUUCUCAAGAUCUCUGGUAUUUCUAGAAGUAAAUAUUGACCACAACAACUUCCUUACCCAUCAGCUUUCUGUUGUGGGGACAACACAUGCGUCCUAGAAUACAUAAACCUGGCGACAACUUGCUUUGUACUCGAUCUAAGAAAUCUCUGAAUUCUUCCCGGCCAGUAGUGAUUCCAUCGGACCCUCAAGAAACUAUUGAAAAUACUUCCUAACCACAAGGUUUUUAAUGGUAACCUACCUUCCUUAUUUCCUACAACAAUAACACUGCACCAAAAACCUUGCCAACUUGAAUUGUAGAUUCCCUUGAUCCAUUUUGGUGAAACCAUAAAAUCGCACUGCCCGAUGAUCCUCCAAGAAAAACACCCAGUUCUUCCCCACCUAGAGAUCGAACCAUCAUUUUCUGCGAUAUUCAACAUCAAAGCCACAAAUCGGAUCAACUAGAUACAUACCAACCGUGACUCUCAAAAUUCAUAACACGAAACAAGAUGAUCCAUCGAAUUACAAUUAACCAAGCUUAAGGAAACUCUAAAUCUCAUAUGGAGACGUGAGAAACUUCCCACAUAAUUGCCACCUGAAUUUUAGUGAAAUUGAUCAGAAUACCAAUGGAUUUACAAGGCACUUGACAAACCGAACUUCAUGUAGCCAAAACUUGCUUCUAAAGUACUUAAUUGCAUCCUUAUUCUCCUUUGAAGCUUCAAGAAUUCCUUAUAGAUGCUAAAACUCUGACAACUCGGCAUAUAAUAAUAUUCUCCUUUUCGAUUCAGGAAUACCUCGAACCUACUCGGAUACACCCGAUCUUCUCAAAACCGUGUCACAUAUCCGACUUGCGACAUAGCCUUCACCUAGGCCACUAGACCAAAAGAACAUUUGAGCGAUGAAUAUUCUCUUUUGGUAAGACAAAAACGAUUCAUGUUCCUUGGUAGAAAAUAAAAAACUAAAAUAUAUAGAAAUACAAUCUUUUUGGGUUUUUUUAUGAAUGUGUAAAAAUAAAAAGGAAAAAUAUUUUUUUGAAUUUUUGGAUUUUUAUAUGCAAAUGCAAUGCAGAAAAUAAAAUACAAAAAAGGAAAAUAAAAUUUGAAAUUUUUUACUAAAAACUAAAAAAAAAUUAACAAAAAAGGCAAGUUUUGACAUUAACCCCUACCCAAGCUUAAAACGAUGCAUUGUCCUCAAUGCUUAGAGAUGAAUGAACAGUUCAAUGCAUAUAAGAGCAAAAUGGUUGCAGCUAGGAAAGAAUAUACCAUAUAAGUUUGUAGAAAAUUCUGAUUUUGACGAUGUUGUUGGCGAAAAAUCUAAAUUUUAGCAACUUUGAAGAUCCUUUGAUUUCCCCGAGCUUGCUUGGAACUACACCUGAUUGGGUUGCCUCCCAAAAAGCUGCCCAUUUUUAAAUUAGUUGCCUUGACUUUGUCCAACCAGAUUCACUAACUGAUGUGGUUGGGACUUAUUUGAAGCUCAGCUCUUUUCCAUGUUACUCUAGAUCCGUUCAGGUAUGGUAGAAUUUGUGAAUCUUGAACUUGUGCACCAAGAUAGAAAGACUUCAUACGUUUAUCAAAUAAGUUUUUCUUUAAAUUUUUAAACUUAUUUAUUUUUUCGGUCAUUUUCUUUCCAUAAAUCUUCUCAAUCUUCUCUUCAGAUUUUCUUCUUUUCAGAUUUUUCUCUAAUGUUUCCUUUGUAGAAAUCAACUUAUUUUCUAGUACCUUCUCAAACCCAAUCUUAUCUCCUUCUACAACUUAAUAUCAGCCCUUUUAGUAGAAACAAUAUAUUCCCUCACGUCCCUAAGCUUAUUUCUGUUUAGCUCCAUUAAUCUAUCAUCAUCUGAUUUCCUGUCAAAAAAUACGUUGCACAAAAUCGUUAGAAAACUCACAACAGUCCUCAGAUAAAGGAUUGUUGGUACCCAGAUAAUUAAAAAAAAUAUUAUCAGAAGUAAAAUCAGCAUCAUUAAUUUUAAAAUUUACCACAUCCCCAACAAAUUCCAUAGAGAGCGUACCAGCAAAAACAUCAAUUUUUGUUUUAGUAGUUUUUAGAAAAGGUCUUCCUAAAAUAAUUGAGUUUUUAUCUGAUAUGUCUAAAUCGCCCAUGUCCAGACUAUAAAUGUAACACUCGAUUCUUGGUAUGAAAUUCUUUUCGAAUGAGUAGGAUAUUUUCUUUCAAAGGCCACAAUGUGGUGAAGCGUCAAUACGACAUGGCGAUAAGCUUUUGGCAGCGAGGGUUUAAUGACCCCCCACGACGUUGUGAUUCUUGCCACGACAUGGUGGCGAAUGUUGGAGAAAACUCUAAAAUUCAAGGGUUGAGCCUUAUUUAAACUCCUUAACCUCUCUUAGCCUCCAUCCCCUCAGUCGCUAUCUCUCCAAAUCAUCCCUUGCAAACCCAAGAUCCCUUGUGUGAGCUUUUAGCCUUAAGUGUGGGUGUUUGGUGCUUGUGAAGGAAGAAGGUCGUGGAAGAUCUUAUUGGGAGUCCAAAGAAAUGUAGAUAUAGGAGUUUAUCUUCCUCAAGCAUCUCAAUGAGGUAUAAAGUCUUCAUCUUGAUGAGUUAGUUGUUAGAUCUUUCUUUAUACCUUGUUGCUUUGGAAGUUUGAACUUCAUAAAGAUUGCAACUUCAUGAUUCUCUAGGCCAUUCGGAGUAUUUGACUCUUUAGGUCUAAAUUAGAUUUCAUUUUUGAGGCCAUGCAUGGAAUCUUGGCCUUUUUACCUUGUUUUGGCCUAAUAAGAGUUCAAGACAUGCAUUGGACAUGCUUUUCUGAAAAGCGCCAAUUUUUAUGAUGUGUUUGGUUUCGGAGAAUCUUUUAAAGCUUUUGAUCAAGUAACCUUAUGGAUUGAGUGCUUAUUGCUUAAGCCAUGUAGUUUUUUGGCCCUUAAAGUUGAGAUCUAUACACUUUGGAGGGUUCUAUUGGAUAAAGCAUCUAGACCCUAUUAUGGACCAAAUCUGAGUUGGAGACCCUUUAGAAUAGAAGAAAAUGAUUGAAUGUGUUAAGCUGCUGAAAACCCUAUUACCAUGGCGUGGAAAGCCCACCAGGACGUGGUGGCAGGGUUGGUCGCGACUAUCUUGUCGUUUUCGACACCACGGCAUGGUAAAGGGCUACCACGAUGAAGUGGCCAGCUGAGUUGCCUCUUCUUGAAUUUUUGACCAUUUGACCUAGUUUGACCCAUGGGGAUAUUUUAGGUAUUCUAGAUUAUGUUUUAGAAUUGGUCUUUUUGAUGGCCAGGCAUCGGUUAGAGCUGAGAUUCAGAUUUGAGACCUCAUCAUUCAGAUUCAUUGGUGGCUUUCCUUACUAUGUUUAGCGGGUUGAAGGCAUCAAAUGCCGGCCCAUGGUUUAUUAUGUAGGAUGCUAGAUGUCUGCGUGACUCUUGCAUGUAGCGGGGCUCGAUGCUGGGCAAGGCCCGAUGACUGUAUUUUAUGCUAUUAACAUAGUGAUUAUCAUAUGUGUUAGUAUGAUUACACGUUUAUAUGUUUAUAUGUGUAUCGGACGGGGUCUGAUGUCAGGCGGGGCCUGGUGAUUGACAGAUCUGUACACCAAAUGGGGCUAGAUGCUAGGUGGGACACGAUAUCGGGCGGGGCCCGAUGAAGGUUGGGGGCCUAAUAUGUGUUUAUUAUGUAUGGUAUGUGGUAUUUUGAGAAACUCAGUAAGCAUUGUGUUUACGGUUUUCAGUUUAUGUUUCAGGUACUUCUGGUUCGAAGGGGAAGAGCCCGGGAUGAUUGCAGAGAACACACCACUUUAUUACGUGUUUUGAGAUUUACUAUGACAUUUUAUGAUGUAAUGAAACUAUGAUGUACUUUAGAGUGAUCUGCCAACUAAAUGAGUGUCCCGGUCUUUUGUAAGUUUCCAAUUUUAAAUUUUCAAAAACUUAAAAGGGAAGGACAUUGACUGAUACACCUAAGUCAAACAUGGCAUUUGAAAAAGUAUGGUUUCCCAAUUUACAAGGAAUCGAGAAAAUUCCUGAAUCCUUGUACUUUGGAGGUAAACCUUUUUGUAAGAUGACAGAAAUAUUUUCGCUAGCUUUGAUAGUUUCAUUAGUUCUCAAUUUUUUCUUAGAGACACAUAAAUUUUUCAGAAACUUGGCAUAACAAGGGAUGUGUCUGAUAACAUCUGAAAGUGGAAGAUUAACUCAACCUUACAAAAAAAUUCUCAUGAUGUCUUCAUCCUCUCGCUCUCGCUUUGUACUUCUCAAUCGCGAUGGAAAUGGUACAGCUGGUUUGUACUCGUUCUGAUUCGGCUUGGCUGGUUUUGGGGUUUCUAUUCUUUCAUUUUUUUUAGCAUCUUUGCCAACCAAAACUUGUUCAUAUUCUUCUUCAGCUUCUUUUUCAUUAUCUUUUUCAUCAUCUUCUUCAACCAUAACUUCUUCUUAUUCUUCUUUAGCUUCUUUUUCUAGUUCAGAUACGCUUGGACCUUCAUAUCUUUUCCUACUUAUCAAGGAAAUAGCACUCACAUUGUGCUUUGGAUUAUUUUCAGUGUGUCCCGCUAACUUCCAUUGAGAUUCCAGACGACCCACAAAAGUGGCAACUUGAGACACCUGUUGUUCUUGAUUCUUGAUACUAGCUCUGGUUUCAUUCUGGAAGGCUUGGGUGCGCGUGGCAAGACUCACAUUCGAGCUAACGGUUUCAUAUUUAUGGUUUCAGGUACCUUAUGUUCGAAAGGUAAGGGUAUGGCGCGACUGCACAGCAUCCUCUAGAGUUUUUCACAUUGACAAUUAAUGAUAUUACUCUAAAGUUUAAAUAACAUAUUCACUUUGAGCGGUUUUGGAUCAACUCGUUUGUAUCAUUUUUUUUGUUUUAAAAAUGUAAAAUUUAUCUUGGAUUUUCGGGACGGUACAAUUUGACAAAGAGUGCUCACUUUCUGGCUGUUUGUGAGAGGUCUUCUAUUGAGAAACUGGAUGAGAUCUAUGUUUAGGUGGUGGUUGCUCUUCAUAGUGUGCCUAUUUCUAUCAUUUCAACCCCAGAUGUUUGUUUCACAUCCAGAUUUUGGAAGAGGGUCAAUGAGGAGUUGGGUACCCGAUCGCAUUUCAAUAUUGCUUAUUAUCCACAGACGAACGAUCAGAGUGAGCGGACCAUCAAGACACUCGAGGAUAUGUUGAUGGCUUGCAUCAUAGAUUUCGGUGGGAGAUGGGACUCCUAUUUUCCUCUGGAUGAUUUUUCUUACAAUAACAGCUAUCAUGCCAUCAUUAGUAUGCUUCCCUGGAGGCUUGGAAAUUUCGAACCCCUAUUUGUGGGGGAGAGGUUGGACGGAGAGUUAUGGGGAUCAUAGAUAUAGUGCUCAAGAUGACAGAACUUAUACAACAUGUUAGACAUAUAUUAUUGAUGACCUAAAGUCGUCAAAAGAGUUAUGCAGACCGACGUCGUUCUGAUUUGGAGUUUCAGGUUGGGGAUAUGGUACUAAAUGUGUCGCCUUGGAAAUGCGUUAUCCGAUUCAGGAAGUGGGCAAGUUGGGCCCCAAGUUUAUUGGUCCUUUUAGAGCUAUAGCUUGGGUAGGUAGCGUGGCCUACCGGUUAGACUUGCCAGAGGAGCUUGGUCAUAUUCAUGGUACCUUUCAUGUUUACCAAUUGAGGAAGUUUGUGACCGUUGAGACAACGAUAGUAAAUUUGGAUGACAUUCAGGUUGAUAACUUCCUGAAUUACAUCGAGCGACCAGUAUUGAUUAUCGACAUGAAGACGAAGACCUUGCGUAACAAGGUGGUAGGCUUAGUGAAGGUGCAGCGGCAACACCAGAAGGGUUCUGAGUGGACUUAGGAACCGGAGGAGAAGAUGCGUACCCACUACACUGAUUUUUUUACUACAGAGAAUUUUAGGAUCGCAAUCUAUUUCAAGUAGGAGAGAAUUGUGACAUCCUCUUUCCAGGAGAUGUGUUUCAGUGACACUCGAUUGAUGAGAAACACGCAUCCGCAAUUGGCCAUAAUGUAGUGUUAUGUUUACGACGGCAUAGUAGCCGUUUGGGCCUAAAACCCUAAUUUUGGGAUUGGUUUCGUAUUUAAGGCACUAACUCCUAGGGUCGCCUCAUUUGGCAACCUCCACCCUCUAAAAGUGUACACCAUCCAACCCUUAGCCUCUUUUUGUAUCUUAUAAGUUCUUGAACUCCAUUCAUGUUAAGGUUGAAUGAAGAAGGAGCUCUUGGUGUUACUUGUGAGUGUGGUUGUAGCUUAGAUCCAUCAUCUUAAUCUCAUUUCUGACUCAUUGGAGGUAUAAAGUCUCUAGCUUGUUCAUUAUUUCUCUAGAUCUAGUUCAAGGUCAUUUUAUGAGCUUUUGGUCCUAAAUCUUUUUGCUCUUGGAGUUUGAGUGAACUCCAAAACCCUUGAGUGCAUUUGUUAGCUUCUGGACCUUGGGAUUGAGUCCAUGCCUUGGUGUUGUCCUUAAGAACUUACAGUUUGUGAUCUUGUCCUAAUUGGAUGUCCUAAUGGAUAAAGUUGGAAACUUUAUCCAUCACAACCUCCACGGGAUCCUGAUAUGAGCUUUAGAGCUUUUGGGAUUGAGGAAAAACUACUUAAUCCAUUAAGUUGUUAGUGCCUAGUGUCAAUUACGUAGCUACCAGUUGCCACGACAUGGUCACCAGUGCUUUUGCGAACAUUUCAUUUGGACAUAGCCACGACAUGGCCAAUGGUGGCCACAGCAUGGGAAUCGACUAAUUGCAUGACUGUUUUUUAUUGGAGUGCCCAUGACGUGGCAUAUGGGUGGCUACAAUGUGGAUACUUUUCAAAUUUGAUUAUGACCGUUAACAUUGAUCGUUGACUUUUGACCAUGGUUAACUUUAGUCAAAUUAGAGGAGGUUAAGGAGUGUACACCGAGUGGUUACUUCCUUAUUAUUGAACAGGUGAUUCAUAGUACAAGUCUUCAUCGUCUAAGAGUUUUUAUGUUUUAGUUUCUAUCUACGAGGUGAGUCCUCUCACUAUACUAUAGGACACUAGGUGUCAUUUGUGCAUGUGACUAUGUGACUAUUACCGGUAUGAUUAUAUGUUGUAUGCAUGGAGCCGAUAUGGGCUAAGAGUCACUACCGACUCAGGGUUGAUAGGUACCUAAUGGAUCCGAUCUAGGAUCGGAGUCAUUAUAGACUCAGCUUGAUACGGGCCCAGGGUUGUUGCAAACCCGAUACAACUAUGUGUUUUUGUAAUGCACUGUUUUGAAUUGUUUCCCAUUGCGGGCUGGUGAUCAAGUAGUGGGUAUUAUCAGACUUAGAACCCUUGAAGAAUUGAUUUUGGGCUUAGUUGUAUGUGGAUGAUGUAGUUUGGAUGAUCCGGGUUUUCGGUUUGUGCUUUGGAUCCCAUGGGUAUCGGUAAAGGCGUUGGUUCGGGCCUUUUAUAAAAUUUGUAAUUUAGUUUGGUUGAUAUUCAGGAUAAAUAAAGUUGUUAGAAGUGUAGGGCUUUUCGCCACCUUUCCUUGGAUAUAAAGAACGUCGAAAACAGAUACGGGAUUCAAAAGUUAUGAUCAUUUUAAGUUAGAAGGGUUUGGACCGAACCAGGUACGCAUGGCGUACUAGGUAGGAAUGCAUGGUGUUCAAAAAGGAAUUUAGAUGCGGGAGUAUUUGGGAACGCCCUUCAUUCCCUAAGGGAACGUGUUGCGUUCUUCAGGUCAGACGGAAACCCUAAUUUAGGGACUUGGACCCUAUUUAAACACCUUAACUCACCUUCAACCCUCAUUUCCUUUAGCCUCCAUCCUCUCCAACCCUAGGAACGAAACCCUAGCCCCCAUUUGAGUGAUUCUCGAGCUUCAAAGUGAUUUAUGAGUAUUUUGGUGCUUGAGGAGGAAGAAGGAACUUCUUGAAGAGUCAUUGCUUGACUUAGAGCUUUUGGAUCCUGGCCUUGUGCACCUAGAUCUAUCUUAUGGAGGUAUAAAGUCUCAACCUUACCAACUCUUUCAUGUAGAUCUAUCCAAGUGGUAUUUUUUAUGGUUUUUUUCCCUUUGAGGUGGUUCUUGUGAGUAGAAGUUACUCCAGAACCUUUGAGCUUCAUAUUUGGUCCUAGUUGAGGUUUUGGAGUCAUAAAGUUUGGAUCUUGAUGGGUAUAGACUUUCCAUGAAUGAUUUGGUAGUCAUUUGAUGAAGUUUGGGACCUAGGGUUUUGAUUUGGGUCCCAUUGAGUUAUGCUGAGUUAUAAACUUUGAAACGUUAUGACUUGAGAAGUCCCUUUGAAUCAGAUAUGGAAAUUUAGACUAAGGUCUUAAGGCACAAGCUUGCAUCUUGGCCUUUUUAUGGAGUUAGAAUGCUUGAAAUCUUGAUCGGGUCCUUUUGGACCAUGCAAAGGUGCCAAGUUGACAACUUUAUUGAUUAGGUCACUGACAUGAAGCUAUUUUGAGGGUUUGAAUGUUGGUCGUAAGGUAUUAAGACGUUUGGGUUAAUUUUUGGACAAUGGUCGGAAACACCGUGCGUUCAUCUCACGAAUGUGGCGUGUUCAUGCAAAGGGUCCCGAUCAGUGGUCUAGCAACGAAUGCCUUGCGCUCCACAAGGGAACUCGGUGCGUUCGGUUCAUCAGUGGGCUUUUUGGGCUUUUGGUCAUGGACUUGUUUUGGGGUUCGAGCUUUUGAUCAGACCAGCAGCUACUUCGAGGUGAGUUACCUUCCAGUAGUGGUGGGUCUACGGCCACAAUGUCAGCCCACCAGUAGGAGUUGUAUGUGGAUGAUUGUCUCCGUGAUAUUCAUCUAGGGUUACUACUACCUGUUCCAUGCUUAUGUGCUAGCAUGAUGUGAUGCUAUGUGUUAGUGGUAGUAGGGGAGAUAGUCCCUAAGAUAUCCGGUCGAUAGGGUCGAAGGGGUAGUUAUACCCAGCCAUGCUUGAUAGAUUCUGAUACUGUGGUACAUGUCAUGUGGUAGUAGUAGAGGGGAGAAGUAGUCUCCAGUACCCGGUUGAGAGGACCGAAGGGGAGGCCAGCACCCAGAUAUGCUAGGCAGUAUUCGGUCGAGAGGACCGAAGGGGAGGCCAGCACCCAGGUAUGCUAGGCAAUAUCCGAUCGAGAGGACCGAAGGGGUAGGUCGGGCACCCAGAUAUGCCUGACGAUAGAUGUAUGUUAUGUGAUUACUAUGGUAUGUGGUACAGUGGGGGAACUCACUAAGCUUUGUGCUUACGUUUUUCAGUUGUUGUUUCAGGUACCUCUUCAGCCAAGGGGAAGGAGCAGGCUCGGUAGCAGCAUAUCACACACACUUUUGUUUCCGUAGUUAUGAGUUUAUUCUGGGAUUGACACUCUGAUAUUUUGGUUGUUUAAAUGUUGUGGAUUUCAAUUUGGUUUUCGAUGUGAAAUGGUUUAAUUAUACAAUGUUUUAAUUAUUAAUGAUUUCCAAGUAAUGAUUUAUAAACAAAAUUUUUGGACGUGAAAAUUGGGUCGUUACACCACUUUUAGAUGUUAUUAAAAAAGUUCCUCAUUACGCUAAAUUUUUAAAAGACUUAUGUGUUUCUAAGAAAAAAUUGAAAAUAAACGAAACAAUAAAAGUUGGCGAAAACAAUAAAAGCUUGAUUCAUUGUAACUUGAGAAACCUUACUUUUCCAAAAUCCAUGCUAGACUUAGGUGCUUCAGUCAAUGUCCUCCCACUUUCUGUUUUUUUUUUAAAAUUAAAAUUGAGAUCUUUACAAAAGACCAGGACAAUCAUUCAGUUGGCUGAUCACUCGACAAUACUCCCAAAAGGUGUAUUGGAGGAUGUUCUUGUCCAAGUGAAUGAAUUAAUUUUUCCCACUUAUUUUUAUAUUUUGGACAUGGGUGAUGUGAUAUAUUUAAUAAAAACUCAAUCAUUUUAGGAAGGUCAUUCAUGAAAAAUGCAAAAACAAAAAUUGAUGUUCUUAAUGACACACUUUCAAUGAAGUUUGAACGGGAUGUGGUUAAUUUAAAAAUAAAUGAUGUUGAUAUUUCUGAUAAUGUUUAUGUUAGUUAUCUGAGUACCAGCAGUCCUUUGAAUGAGGACUUCUGUGAGUUUUCUAAUGAUUUUGUGCAAGAUUUAUUUUUAGACAUGAAAUUAUCUGAUGAUGCAUCGGAAGAGCUUAAAAGAAAUAAGUUAGGGGUAAAGGAUGAUAUAAGAGCUAUAAAGAAGCUGAUAGAAAAAAGACUAGCAUGGGGAAAAAGAGGAGAAGGUGAAUUCUGACAAAAAGCUGAAAAGGAAAAAACCUAAGGAAAAAUAGAAGAUUUUCGGACAGAAAAUUAGAACACAAAAGAAAAACAGAAAAACUUCAUAUUUUUAUCAGAAUACUCUAUUUCCAUAGUAUUUAUGUUCCGCUACACAACUACCAGAUCCACCGAUUAUGUCGCAUAUGAAGGGAUCUUGAGUGAGGAAGAAAAGAGUUGAGCUAUAGAGAAGUCCUAACCACACCAGUUGAAAAUAUGGUUGGACACAGUCGAGCCAGCGACUUUAAAAAUGAGCGGAUGUACGGGAGGCAACCUGAUGAGAUGUUUAUUUUUUUGCAUUCAAUAAAGGUAUGGCCGCAGUUCCUUGCAAUCUUGCGGAAAUCAAAGGAUCUUUAAAGUUUCUAAAAUUCGGAUUUUUUGCCAACAUUUUCAUCAAAAUCAUAUUUUCUACAACUUAUCGGGUACAUUCUUUCCUAGCUGUAACUUUUUCUUUUAUAUGUUUUAUUAAGUUGUUCAUUCCUCUCUGAACAUUAAUGACAAUGCAUCAUUUUAAGCUUGGGGAAUGAGUCAAUGUCAAAACUUUGCAUUUUUUGUUAAAAGAUUUUAAAUGUUUCAGUUUUUCAGUUAAAAUUUUCAAUUUUACUUUCUGCAUUGCAUGUGCAUAUAAAAAAUUCAAAAAGACAAAAAUCUUUUUAUAUUAUGUAUUUCAACAUUAUAAAAAAAUCUGGGAAAAAAACACAAAAAAUAUUUUAUUUUUAGUUUUUAGUUUAUUUUAUGCAUCAAAAAAUGGAAAAAGUUACAUAAUAUGAUGACAUUACUUGCAUUCGAUAGUUCUGUAAAGAUGGAAAAUGAGAGUCUAAAGCGACCGGAUCGAUAGUGGUAAGUUCAGUAAUAGUUCUCAUAACUAGGGGUAACAAAACACUGUGAGCUGAGACGCUGGUUGUAGAAAAUAAAAAGAAUUAUAUACUGAAACACUACGUGAGCUGGGAUAAAACAAGUUCAGAACUAAUUUAUUUUGAAUAUUUAACAAGAAACUUGUUUGACAAGUCUGGAUCCAUAGAACACGGACCUAUUUGUUGACACGUAUUACCUUCACGGUAACAAAGAGCCUUAUAUCAGAUCCAUGCAGUCAAAAAGAAAAGAAGGGUACGAAAUGUCAUAUCCGAUACCCAAGUCAAAGUUCAAACACUUAAUCAAAGAAACCUCAAGAAAAUCAAAAAGACAAAUGAAGAAUUCAAAACCGAAGGAAAAGAUACAAAGAAUCAAGUGCAGUCAGUUUGGAAGUCAUCUCAAAGUUAAAUACCCGAAUGAAAAAUUGUGUGACAUGAUAUUUGUCAUUCUCAUAAAAGCGAAAGCAUAGGAACUGGGCCCCUACGGGUGAGCACACUACUUCGGUUAAAGAUGAUGUGACAUGAUGUGUUCUUAAGGAUAAGUCGAGUCUGGUUCUUAAUUAUUUAGUCUUAAGGACAUAAAAUUCUGAAACAUGCUAUCCAUGCGAGCAAGGUUAAUUAAGGUAUAAAGUUUAAAUAAAUGUAACAAUUGAUUUAUUGGUUUACACCAUCGAGCUUUUUCCUGAAUUUGGGAGUCUGUGAAAGAUGGAAGCUAUUGAGAUGGUUACUUUGGCAGUAACUGCAUUGGAGCUUUCCUCGGUGUAAAGUCUGAUCAUGUGAAAAAAAAAAGUGAAGUUUUUUCUGUUACAAGUUAUUUAGUUUUUACUCUAAGUACUUUUUAUGUCAUCUACAUCUUUCCAUUUCAGUUAUAAUUUUUAAUAUUUUUAUUACUUGAGUGAAAACAAGGUUUAAGCUUGUAGAGAUUUGAUAGACACAAGAGGAGGAGUUUACCCAUUUGAUAGAAAAUAUGGGUCUUGGAGGAGUCAACAGGAUUUCAUCGCCUAUGUGGGCAAUGGCGGCGUGAGGUUGCUUUAUGGAUUCUAAAGGACUAGGCACAUCUACAGAAAAAGAGUAAGACUUCCACACUUUAGGUUAUGUAUGCCUUGAUGUUCAUAGAGCCAACCAGAGUUUGUAAGAUUGACACAAUGAGGUUGAAUUUUAGGAAUGGUCACACAGUUACCUUUCAUAAUGUGUUGCAUGUUCCUAGGAUUUUGAGUAGACAAGUUUGAAAAGAUUGGAUACAAAUCGGUAAUCGAGAAUGGUCGUGUGGAGUGUUUAGGGAAAAGUGCAAACAAUAUCAUAACAAAUUCAGAAUUAUAAAAACCAAUCAUUCACAUUUUAAUAAUCAAAUAUAUGUUAAUUUAUAACACUUGUUUAGUAUAAAAGCAUCUAUCCUAAUAAAUGAAGAUCAUUUUUCCAAAUGUCAUAUCCUCAUUAAAUUUGCCACAUAUAAUUUUGUAAAUUUUUUGAUUAAGUUUAAAUCCACAUGUCAUUUUGUGUUUUUUUUUUGAAUUAAAUCAAUUAAUAUGACACAUAAUACUAAAUUUAUAUAUGUAAAGUAUUAAAUAUAUUGUGAUAAUAAAUGCAAAGAAUCUUAAAAAAAUAUAUAUGAUAUAUUAAAAUACAUUGAAUAUGAUAACAAAUUUAAUGAAUAUGACAAAACAAUCAUUGAUAUUAUGAAUGAUCUUUUUAAUAGUAGUUCUAUUAUUCAUUAGAAUAUGUCUAUUUAUUUUAAAAAAUUCUUAAUAUUUAAACUUUGAUAUAUUUUUUUAAUCAACCGUGUAAUACACAGGUUUCACACAUAGUAUCAAAAUAAAUAAGUUCUCGAUCUCUAACAAUAUGAUAUCAACAUCAAAAUUAAGACAAAAAAAAAAUAAUAUAAAAAUAUUCACAAUUAUUUAAAAAUUGAGAUUAUUAAAAUAUGUAGUGAAAAUCAAAAUUUGUUUUUAUGUUGAUAUUGAAUUUUAAUUUCUAAAUAUAAAAAACAGCUAAUUUUAAUAUACUUAGUUAAAUAAUAAAUAAAAAAAUUAAAAAAAUUAAAAUAGAUUUUUAAACUCUAAAUAAACGAUUUUAAUUUGUUUUUUCAUGGUUAUUUCAAUGGUUCCCAAGUCUUAAAUAGACCACAUAUAACUAAACAAAAGGAUUAUAAGAAGAUAUUUUAAAUUUUAACUUGGAAGAAAAUCUUCCAUAUUAAUAAAAGAAUAGUUUUGUUUGAAUAAACAUAUGCAUUUAAUUUUUGCCAUGUGUCAAUAUAUCAAAAUUCAUUAAAAGUUUGUCAUAUGUCAAUAUAUUUAAUGCAAUAGUUUAAUAUAAAAUCAUUUAAUUUAAUAAGGUAUUGAAUUAGCAUUAUAUCUUUCGUUCAUACCAUAAUUACCUACAACUGUAUUUUACUAUUUAGUUUACGAUUUACACAAUCCUUGAAUAUUAGGCAUAUUAUUAGUUCAAAUAUAAUAUUAAAUUUAAAAAAUUAAACAUAUUUACGUCACAAAUGUAUGUUUAUCGUUCUUUUUUAAAUCACCGUUCUUAUUUUCUGUGCAAUUAUAUCACGUAAAUAAGGAGAUUUUGAUUUCAAUUCCAUUUUUUAUCUCGUUAAAUAUGGAGCUUUUUAUCUCUACAAUAAUGUAAACCAUCAAAGACUGAAUUUUUUUCUUUCAUUUUACAUCUCAAGUUUUAUUCUUUCCAAUCGGCGAUAACUUCUGCAAGUGAUUCAUAAAUAUAGGUACAUGCCUUAGUAUAUUCUUUUCUUCUUCUUUAAUCUUUAAAAUCAUUAAUCCACUAUUUCUUAUUGUAUAUGUAAGCAAAUAAGCGUUUUUUAGUUUAAAUCAACCGGAUGAAAAUAUGUUUUAAAAAACUAGCAACACAUAGCAGUCAAAACUAGUAUACUCAUUUGAGAAUAAAAUAAGGUAAUUAUUUUCUGUGUAACUAAAUCUCAUUAAAUCCAAAUCAGGUAAUAAUUUUCGAAAUAUGCUGAAAAGUUCAUUGGUAUUACUUUAUCAUAUAUUUUCCUCAAUCGACGUUUUAUGAACAUUACAAAUAUUAUAUUUCACAUAUUUAUUUUAAUCAACGAUUAUAAUUUUACAUAAACAAAAAACAUAAAUCUCUUAAUCAAUAAUUUAUUGAAAGUAAUUAAUUAAUAAUUCUGAGAUAUUACUAUAAAAAUUUAAUUAUUUUUGUAACCGUAAUUCACACGGGCUAUAACCUUCUGUUAUUAUAAGAUUAAAGCUCAAUGUGCUAUAUAACUCAUCUAAUGAAUAGAGACAGAAUUUGAAUUUAUAUACUUGCCAUGUUUUUGGUAGGCAUGUAUGUGUUGAUUGAGUAUAUGCAUUGAAACUUGUGCCGAAUAGCAAUGGAAUUAUAACCAACAAGAUCUUCGUAAUUCAUAAACAUUAAAAAUGAAUAUUCAAGAUCAAGUAAUAUAACUUAAUUGUUGAUUACAUAAGUUAAUAAAAACAAGGAAAACUUUAGGUUAAAAAUGUUUAUCUUAGAAUUCUUACUAACAUGCAAUUUGCAUUGUGUUGAUGCAUGCAUACAAAUGUACAAAAUAAAGCCUAAAGUAAUUUCCUUGUAGAUUAUAAUCCUUUAUUUCAUUCAACUUGUUGGACAUGAGUUAUUAAACGAAUGUAGUUUUUAAUUAUAGUUUCUUCAUCUUGUUGGAUAUAACCAAUGUAUUUUAUUGGAUUUAACUGUGUUGGAUAUAAUCGAUGUAUAGACAGCUGUUAUGCUUGUGGUUGUGGUCUAGAUUAUUACUCUUCCGUCUGCCACCUUAAAAUCCAUGUCUACUGUAUAGAAACACACUUCUACAGUAAUAUAUGGGUUAAUGACCUAUUUAUCCAAUAAAUACUUAUAUAUUUGAUCAAAUUUACUAAUUUAGGAAAGCAUGGAUAUUAGUAUAUAUACAUAUCUAUUGUACCUUAGUGUUUGGUUUAUGUAAGCCCAUUUAUAUAAACGGCCCAACCCACAGUUAGUAUAUUGUUGAGGAAUGUGAAAUUGUGAAUGAAUAUCAUUUAUGAGAAAAUACAUUGCAUGGUAUCAGAACUGUAAUUAAUUUGUUCUAUUUUCUUUUUUAAUCAUCGAUCAUGUUUCUCUCUCCUAUCUUCAUCUUUCUCACCUGAAUUCUUCCCCCCUCAUUGUACAACCUUAGCAGACCAUACAUCCAUGACGACUUUCUAGGAUUACUAUGAAAAAACAAUGGAAUUAGUUAGCAUGAAAUCAUACGUCCUUUAUGUUAGAUAUGGGCUAACUAUUGUGGUGCGUGGCUCAAGCUAUUUUAGACCCACUGUUUUUUUUUUGAUGUCUUCAACUAUGGGCCUCAAAGAAGCCUACUAUCAAAUAUAGGAAAAUAUGCAUGGUUACUAUUAGAUAGAUAUAAAAAUCAUUUUGUUUCAUUAAUUGGUACAAUAGAUCAAAAAAAUCCACAUGGGCGCAUAUAGUGAUUAUAAAAAAAAAUCCACAUCGUUGUAUAUUAGGUAUAAAUUGAAACAACAUAUAUAUUUAUUAUUAUAAUAAUUAUACUUCAAAUAUACCAAAAAUUCUUGGUUCUCUCUAAGAUCCACAACUUUGCCUAUAUAUGUAGAUGUCAAAACAUUUGUUUUGACUGUGUCUAUAUAUAGAAACGAACUUAUAUUAUGAUGAUAUAAUCAAUGAGUUAAUGAUUUAUUUAUGGAAUGAACUUACAUAUUUUUAUAAAAUUACUCAUCCAAAUGGAUUUAUUUCAACUUACAUAAUCCAUCUUCUAAUUUGUCACCAGAUUUUUACAAUUUUUUUAAUGCACGAAUUUAUAAAAAAUAAAAAAUAAAAACAUUUUGAUUUACAAAUUGAAUUGUAUCAUAGCGACAUAAAUAAAUCCAUUUCAUUAAUUAAAUGAAAACAUGUACUUCAUUUACAUAUAAAUAUAAUAAAUCUAUAACUUAUCCUGGAUAUUUUACUAUAAUUAUAUUUUUCUUACACUUCAAAAGUACCUAAACGAGAUCUCGUUUUUUAGACUAACCGGUAUACGUAGCACGAGCUGGACCGUGGUCUAGUUGGCCACGAACCACGGCCGUGCACACCACCCCGGUGGUUCGUGGUGGGUCGUGGUCGUGGCCUUCCGUGUCCCGGACAACGGGCGUAAACGACCAAUGAGCUCCGAUGCAAGAAUUUGACCGUUUGUUUCGUUUCUUUUUUGUGUAGCCGUUCAACAACGGCUAGAUUUAUAAAAAAAAAUAAUAAUAAUAAAAUAAACAAUUUAUUUACCUAUAAAUACCAUAUUUUUACUCCUUAUUUUUUACACCAUUCUUUUCUUUCUCUAUACACAAACUACACACUACAUCUUCACAACCAAAAUUCAUGGAUCCCAACCAAAAUACCCCUCCAAACUACCAAAAUCGCAAACCCGAUAACGCUUUUGCGUUAGAUAUAACACCUCAACAAUUCCCGACUAUGGAGUCACCUCAAGGUGGUUUUAUCAAUCUACUUCAAAGUGGUUCCCCUAUCCAACAAACACCACUUUUCUAACAACAAUAUCAACCUUUUCCGGCUUUCCAACAACAAUAAAUGAACAACAAUACCAACAAUUUCAACAAUUCCAACAACUACAACAACUCCAACAACAAUCGUCACAACAACAACAACCACCAAUUUCACAACCACCAAGCUCACAACCACCACUUUCGCCGGAUUUUGUUCCGGAAACGCAACCUUCACCACCACCUCAACCAAAAAAGAAAAAAGGAAAAAAAACGGCCCGACCCACUACCAACCAAGAAAGGGUCCCAUGGACAAAAGAAGAAGAAGAAAAGUUAGCGGAGGCAUGGGUGGCGGCUUCCGAAGAUCCAAUUGUAGGAGAUAGCCAGACUUACGGAAGUUUUUGGGAAAAAGUCCGAGCCAUUUUUUACGAGUUAAUGGAAAGUCAAACUCGAAAUGCCGAUCAAAUUACGUCGAAAUGGCGAGAUAUUCGACUAAAAUGCACCGAUUUUGGAGGAAUCUACAACAAUCUCCUAAACAUACGCAAAAGCGGCUCGAACGAUUUUGAUGUAUUCAAGGCGGCCAUGGACCAAUAUGAAAAAACAACGCCUACACGCAAAGCUUUUCCGUAUAUGAAACCGUGGCUAAAAUUGAAAGACUCCCCAAAAUGGAAAGAGCAAACGGAAGGAAGUUCCCAAUCUUCCGGUUCAAAGCGUUCGAGAAACCCCGAUGGAGCUUCUCAACAAUCGGACGGCCGAACACACAUCGACAUCAACGACGAUCCGAUAGAUCUUGAAACCGACCAACCUCUUCCUCGGCCCGUUGGAAGAAAUAAAACAAAAAAAGCGGCGUCAACAUCUUCGAAUUCUAGUGUUAUGGAUAUGUUCGGCGAUAAAUUUGAUCGAUAUGUGCAGCUUCAAGAAACGAAGGCCGAGGUGAUGACUCGGAUGGAACAAAAAAUGAUCGAAGCACAAACAUCAUUUCAAGAGGCACAAGAGACACUCCAAACAAGAACCGAUAUGGAAACCUUGAAAAUGAAAACAGACGACCUUGAGAGCGAAGACUUUGAACUUUUCCAAGCAAUGAAAGAGUCGGUUCGAGCCCGACGUAAGCAUAGGGGGUAGUUUAUUUUAUGUAUGGUUGGAAUUUUUAGUUUUUUUAAUGUUUUUUUUUUUAAUUUUUUUUUAAAUUAACUAAUGUAAUUUUUAUUUUGAUUGUUAUUUUUAUUUUAUUUUUUAAUUUCAAUUAAUUUAGUUUUUAUUUAAUGUAAUUUGGUAUUUUAAUUUAAUGGAAAAAAUAAUAUUAAAAAAAUGUUUUUAAUGUAUUUUUGAAUUAAAUUUAAAUAAAAAAAUGAGGUGGAGUGGUGUGUUUAGUGGUAAGUAUCCCAUGUAUGUGAUAGUGGAAUGUGGUGCUGAUGUGACACCCACCACAUAUAUAGUAUGUGGUGGGUAUAACAGAUGGCCUUAGACUCGCCUUAACGGCUUCUAUCCUGCUUUAACGUAUGUAUCUUCAACCCCGAAUUUGUUAUAUAUCUCCACACUCAAGGAUAUGUCUUAAAAUAGUAAAAUAUGAUCACAAGUUAAAUCUAAUUUUUAACUUAUAUGAUAUUCUAAAUAGCUUAAAAAAUAACUUUUAUAAAUUACUUUGUAAAGUACUACUAACUAACUAACCUAUAAAUUAGCUUUACUAGCUUAUAAAGUAGCCUAUGCACCCCCAAUCACAUUGUUACUCAUUUUUCGAAAUUAGAAAUUUGUGAACUGAUUUCAAGGAUUUUUUGGAGAAACAUAAAAAUAUAAACUUGAAUUCUCAUUAAAAAAAAAAAAAAAAAAAAAAAAAAAAAAAAAAAAAANAAAAAAAAAAAAAAAAAAAAACUAAAAUGCUAAUUUAUUAAGAUGACAUAAGUCACAUAACCAUUUAAAUCAUGGUCGAAUUAAAGCAGGUUCCACAACCAACCAAAAGCCGAUCCUACCACUAAUCCAACAACCAAAGACGUUUCCAUAGCAAUCCCAACAACCUCCGACUCCUCCACCGGAACCGACUUCGGCGCAAGAAUCAUAAGUACACUCGUUAGAUACCCAUUGCUCACACCAAGCAUCAAUGUCAGAACGAUCACCGGAACUUCACUACCCAUCCAUUUUGGUCCAUGUAUACACCCCAUAAACAACGGAUAAAACACCACCCUCGCCAUACAACACCAUAUCGCCCCCUUACUCCGCCGUGGCAAAUAUAUCGCCGUCAAACACUUCCCCAAAAAAUCACCAACAUUAAACGUUGUAAUCAGAAUUAUAGGAUACCAAUCCUUGAAAUAAUCGGAACUAACGUUUUCACUCAAGUAACCUGGGAAUAUCGACAACGAGACUAUGUAGAUCACAAGCCCCGCCGUCACGAACCACCGGAUCUUCUUCACCACCACACAAAAAUGUGUCCCGAUUGCCAUGUGUCCGGUGGCUUCAUUCCGGGAUUUGUUCCUGUAGUAUCGUAUCACCGGCAGUUUGUCCAACACGUUGGUGCAGAUGACGCAGAUGAGUACGAUGAGAGCACUGAACACGAAGUAGAUCUGUGUGCUUGUUCGGAGUCCCUUUUGAGUGUGGGGAAGUGACGCUUUUGUAAUAACCCUCAAUAUUGAAACCAUAAGACCUGAAAUAAAAUAAAAAAAAAACAACAAAGAAUUAUAUAUAUAGUGAUAAUGAAAUCGGAUAAGGGUGAUUUUAGGAAUGAGAUAGCAUACCGGCGGUGGCAUUGCCGGCGAAAACAGCUUGCAUGUAGCGUCCAGGGAGUUCACCGGUGGCUCCGACUAAACUUCCGCCCACCAGACCGUCGGCUAAGCCGCUGACCAUUACCAUUGAAACAAGGACCACAAAUGCGACAUUUGAUCCUAUUUCGGAUUGAUUCCCGUGAUCGAUCCAGUCGGUCACCGGCGCCACCAUGAGAGCUGAAAUAAACAAAGCCUGACCUACAUUCAUCCUGGUUCUCACCGACGGCAGCUGAAUCCGGCAUGAUUUGGGCCAACAGAGAAGGGUGAGAAGCACGGUGACGGCGGCGCUCAUGUAACCAACGGAGAAAACCUUGUUGAUGUGUUUGGUGGGGUAAAGGUACUGGAAGUAGUCGACGGCGGUGAUGAAAGCGUUCCAUGGAACUAAAUAGCCGGCACCAAGAAAGAAAUGGAUCAUGUAUGCGAUCUGGUAGGUGUCUUUUGGCUCCACGUCGUGUAUCUUGUUGGGGUUCAUGUCGACCUUUAAGUUUAGACUCUCCAUUCCGGCAGGCGGAGAUAGGUGCGCCGACCACCGUCUGGACAGGACUGUCGGAGUACGCGAAAAUAGAGAGCAGUACUAUCCAUGACUGGAUUUCUUCUGAACUUAUAGACUGAUUUUGCAUGAUUUCAUGUUCGCCAGAAUAUGCCACGUGGAUAUGCUGAAGAAAGACAAAUAUUCGACCGAUUUUUCAUUUUGAAACAAAUGGCGUAAGGUUUUAAGUGUUCAAGAUGUAUGCAACUUCUUGUUGCUGCUCACAUUUAUUUGGGUGAAUGAUUUUCAAAAUCACUUUAUGAUAUCGCAUAUAUAAUUAGUGUGAAUGUGAUAGAAUAAAUUUUGGAUUAUAGUAUUAUUAACAUUAUAUAUAGUGAUAAAAUAAUCACGUAUUAUAGUGUUUAAUUAUAAAAUGACUGAGACAUUUUUGUUAAAAAAAAAAAUAUGAGUCUUCGAGAAUUGAAGUGUCUUUGUCAUGAGUUUUUGGGAGCUUUUAUUAUUGUGUUUAAAAUAACUAAAAGUAAAGAACAAAAUUUGUUACUUAAUACAAGUUUUAACUUUUUAUUUUAAACAGAAAUUUAUAAUCUAAAAAUUACGUAAGUAGUUUGAGCAAAGUUGUCAAGAUCGAGAUCCUACCUAAAAACGUUUUUGAGUUUGCAAGAUCGGGAUCCAGGUCCUAAGAUCCCACAAAAUAAAAUAUAAUUUUAAUUUAUAAUAUCUAAUCAUGAAAAAUAUUUCGAGCAUUUAAUUUUUCGUUCAAAAGUUAUAAAAACUUCAAAAUAGUAGUCAUAUGUCACAAUAAAAAAUGAUAAAUGAUAGAUUGGUAAAGGAUAAAAGACAUAAAGGGAUAAAAAAAAUCUCUUUUGCAAAACAAAAAAAAAACAAGGGAAUGUAGGAUCGGAUCGGAUCUCGAUCCUACGAUCCUACCUACGAUCUUGCAAUCUUACCAGCGAUUCUACCCCAAAUACGAUCUUUUUUACGAUCCGGAUCGUUUUUCAUACCUAGGAUCGUAGGAUCGUACGAUCCUACGAUCAGGAUUGCGAUUUUGACAACCAUGGUUUUGAGAGUUCUUUAGCUUUUAUCUUUUCUAUUUUAUAUAUUUUUUAAAUGACAAUUAUCUGUGUAGAAUACUCUACACAAAUAAAAAUAAGACAAAACUUCAAAAAUGGUCCCUGUGGUUUUCGAAAAUAUCAAAUUUAGUCCUUAAGUUCAAAAAACCUCACAGACGGUCCUUGUGGUUUCAAAACUUUUAACAAAUGACCCUUUUCGCUAACUUCGUUAACAUUUAGCUGUUAAGUGAAGGACAUUUAUGUCAUUUCACAACCACAACGACCAUUUAUGAAGUUUUGUCUUAAUUUUAAAAAAAUAAAAAAAUAAAUAUAAUUAUUUAAUAUUAAACACCCUCCCCCCCCCCCCCCCCCUNNNNNNNNNNNNNNNCCCACCCAUCGUUGUUACUGAAUCCGCUUUUCAAGCCCUCCAAUCAUUCAAACAAGAACUCAUUGACCCAAAUGGGUUCUUGAAAAGCCGGAACAAUAGCGGAUAUGGAGCUUGUUCUGGAAGAUGGAAAGGAAUCAAAUGUGCUGAAGGUCAAGUUAUCGUGAUUCAACUUCCAUGGAGAGGAUUAGGUGGUCGAAUCACACCGAAAAUUUGUCAAUUUCAAGCUCUCAGAAAGCUUAGCCUCCAUCAUAACACCAUUGAAGGUUCGAUUCCGAAGGAAUUAGGUUUCCUUCCGAAUCUCAAAGGACGUCAUUUGUUUAACAACAGUCAACAGGUUCAUUGGUUCAAUUCCUCCUACAUUGGGUUCAUGUCCAUUGCUUCAAACUAUUGAUUUGAGUAAUGAUUCUUUGGUGGGUGUUGAUGGGUUUUAGCCAUAAGAACAUCUUAUGUGCUCAUACAAACCCUAAUGCUUAGAUCUAGGUUUCUCUAUUGUACAUGCAAUUCAUCCAAGACUAUAAACCCUAGAUCUAGCAUAUGAUAAUCAAUAUAACAUAUAAAUUAGGGUUUAGAUCAUACCUUGAUUGUUAUGCAGCAAUAACAAUCUCAAAUCCUCCUUGUAAUGACUUUAGAAAGCUUAGAGUCACAAAUGUCACUCCUCUAAUGGUUCACAAACACCAAGAGCAAGAGGAUGAAAAAGAUAAGAGAAGCAGGCUGCCCAAAACGUGUGGAAACCCUAGAAGACAAGUUCACCACGUUUUUGGGGCAUAAGGGUGAUGGGUUUUGGUCCUAAGAACAUCCUAUGUGCUCAUACAAACCCUAAUGCUUGGAUCUAGGUUUCUCUAUUGUACAUGCAAGUUAUCCAAGACUAUAAACCCUAAUUCUAGCAUACAAGUAAUCAUAUUAACAUGAGAAUAGGUUUAUAAUAUUACCUUGAUUGUUAUGUAGCAAUAACAAUCCCAAAUCUCCUUGUAUUGACUUUGGAAGGCUUAGAGUCACAAGUGUCACUCCUCUAAUGGUUCACAAACACCAUAAGCAAGAGGAUGAAGAGGAGAGAGGAUGGAGGCUGCCCAAAACGUGUUCUAACCCUAGAAAAGAAGUUCCCCACGUUUUUGAGCCUUAAGGGUUCUAUAUAUAGUGAGGCUAUUAGGGUUAUCUAACAAGGAAACCCUAAUUUGGAUGCUUAAGCCCUAAGCAACCCAUGGAGCCCUUUCCUUAAGGCCUUGGACGAUUUCAUAUGGGCUUCCCCCAUAGAAUUCGUCCACCUUAUAAUAUAAGGCAAUCCAUGGCCCAAAUUGCAAUUAUCUUAUAAUUACAAUUCCAGUCCCUUAAGUUUAAUUAAUCUCUUUUAGUCACAAAACUAAUUACCAAUUAAUUAUUGACUAAUAUUAAUUAAACAAUAUGAUUUCUCCUUUAAUAUAUUAUUCUCAUAAUAUAUUAAUAAAUCAUAUUUAAUCCUUUCUCUCCAUAAUUCAUCCUAUCAAGUUGCUUUGGUGAAGGCAACCCAAAAGGACCAUGCACCAUCGGGUCAAGUACAUACCAAAAUAGUUAUGGACUUAGACACUAAUCCAACAGUCUCCCACUUGGAUAAGUCUAAUAACUAUUCUGCGUAUGACUUCAGAUCCUGAUCUGCAAUCGUAGCUUUCCAAAGCCGCUGUCAACUCUGAUCAUAUCAGAUACGCGUGUCCUUAGAUAAGGGAUCAUAUAUUCCUCCAUUCUAGAUAUCAUAUGAGAUAUGAUUUCAAAUCAUUCUCUUUGUACUAUAUCUCGAUUUCCGAUUUAUGACGACUGACUAAUUGAACAAAUCAAAUUAGCCCUAGCCCGGCCGAGCAUUUACGUUUGUCAUCACUAAAUCAUCGAGGGGCCCAAAGAUAUCGCUUUUAUCCUACUUUGGAUAAAAGGAACGGAUAAACUUUGAUACAAUGCUUGCUUGCACUCACUCACCGAAUCACACACAACAAUAUGUUUUAUAACACCAAGUUACUAGUGCGUUUACAUAUUAUCAAUGUGCAACCGAUUUGCAAGAUACAACUCACACAUCUCGGUUUCAAGAAUAUAAGAUGUUAUCGUCUCACCAAUCACUCGUGAUACAAUUCAUGGAGUGAUCCAAGUGAGCGUGGGUUUAAUCCAAUGCUCAAAUCAUAUUCAUAAGCACUCAUGAACGUUGCAGCAAACAUUUGCUUAUGUCUAAUACUCUUUUAGACAAUCCACACACCAAUUCACGACAGUCUUCAUUCAUAUCUACUUCCAACAUAUGAACGACUGUGGCCCGUUUGAAUAAUUCGAUUAUUCUUAAUAAACUCAAUUAUUCUGGAAGUCAAAACAUGCAAAUGUGAAACACAAGAAUAAUACUAAUCCCAUAUGGCCUCAAACCUUUGAGUAUAAAUAAAACUCCUUUUAUUUAUCACCAUAUCGAUUACUCAUUAUUUGUCGUUUCGGGUAAUCAACUUCUUACUUGAAUUAUUACACUUGUCCCAUGCUCCUAGCAUGCACACAAUGUUUACCUAUGGUUCUUACUUUGUGAAAUAGAUCAAAUUGAACACAUUUCCAAUCAUUCUCAUUUCACAACUCCAAAUCCUUUUUCAUAAGUGUGAGAAUAUCAAAUUCUUGUUACUUAUAAAAUAUGCUAGAUUCUAACAUUCUAUGCAAUGAUCCUUUCGUAAUGUCACUGCACCAAAGUCACAAAGACUAUUGCCAAUGAUAUUACAAAGUCCUCUAUCGGAGAUUGUUACAAGACAAUUCCUUAGAUAUGAUGUCUCUCACUCAAAGUACAUUCCUUUGAACAUCCUUUUGCAUAAAAGUUUCUAAUCUAGACAUAGAUUUUCAAUAUUCAAUUCCCAAUAUGGACACGCUUCCAUAUUUUCCAUAUGACAACUCAUUCUUAAUAGAAUCUUAUCUAUUCGUAAUGAUGUCGAUAUGGUCCAUCCAAUAUGGAAACAUUUCCAUAAUUUCCAUAUGACAACUCAUUCUUAAUAGAAUCUUUUCUAUUCAUAAUAAUGUCGAUAUGGUCCAUCCAAUACCAUGCUUCCAACUACUCACAAGCGACCAAUCCUCGUCGAACUUUGGAUUGUCCUUUGAUAGUUGUUUAAUUAUUUUAGUCAAAACCAAUUCUAGUCCCUUUUCCCUCUAAAUGCGCUCGACAUUUGGAAAAUUUUAGAAUGGUCAAACAUUAAAGCAUUUGCAAUCGAUCCUAUACCCGAAGCGUAUGGGACACGACGCAUAAUGUUUUAUUUGCUAUGUUCUCAAAAUUCGAAUUGUGAAGAGGAAUGUCGUAAUCAUAAUCGAAAUUUUAAGAACACACUAUGUACCUUUGACUAAAUUUAUUAACAUUUCUCAACCUAAGCCUUUAGAUUUGAAAUGAAGCAUAAUAUUCUCUCCCUUAAUUAUAGCAAAACAACUUUACAACCCUUACGACUUUGCAAGGUAUAACUCUUGUUUUCUAUAAUUAAUAUUGCCAACUUGCAAUACGUGCCUUAAUAAUCAUACAAUCAUAACAUUUAUGCUCCCACUAUCAUGAUGAUUAUUAUAAAACAUAACACUUAUGCUCCCACUAGCUUCGACAUGUAUUCAUAAACAUCUUAACUUUCAGAAAAACAAUGCUUAUUGAAUUUCUUAAGUUCAUGUUUCUAAUACUUAGUGCUUUGAUAAUCUUUUAUCAAGGCUUCUUGAACUUAUACACCUUUGCCUUCGAUAGUUCAUAUGUGUGUCUAAACAAUUAAGACUAAUUGCCAAACCUCACAAUUCAAAUUAUGGAAAGGGAUACCGUAACCAUAAUCGAAUUCGAGAAUGCAAUUUUACAAUCACUAUCUUCUUAAAAUCUUUCUUAGUGAAAGCAUUUCCUCACAAUCAUUUUCAUGAAGGAGGAAAUCUUAUGACACUUAGAUUUAAACGGUGUAUGUGUUCCUAUCCAUGUGAAUUUUUUAAAACCAAAGUUUACGACAAAUUCAAACUCAUAUGGACCGAACUUUCUUAAUCUCGAUUUCUUGCCUUAUGGUAGCACAGCUGCCCACCAUGUCUUCCAAGUAGUUAAGCAGCUCACCUUUUCUUAUCAAUGUACUUUCCAUUGAUCAAGGUCCUUGCCUUUUAUGCAUUCAAAUGAGAACUCAUAGGACUCACAUGCAUAAUUAACUCAAGUGGAACCGCACAGAAACAAAAUAAUGUCAACAAAAUAGGUUGUAAACCUCAACUCGUGUGCUAGUGAUGAUCGAUAAGGUCUAUUUGAUUUGUUCUUGAAGCCUUUCAAGACCAAUAAGACUCCCACUGACUCCUUGACAUAUAAGAUUCUCUUGUCAAUAACCAUUUCUUGACAAACAAAUAUUCAAGAGUUAGUGUAGCUUUUAUCAAAACACUUCAUAAAUUGGUCCUAGUUGGUCUUUGUCUUAUCCAAGACAUCACAACUUUCCACAUUUGAUGAAUGUUAUAAACCUUCUUAAUACUUAUCACUCAAUGUCACAAUCUUAACUCUAAGACUUGUUUUGGAACGAAGUAUGAUUGACUUCUUGAUUUAACCAUUUCUUCAAUUCUUGAUUCCUCUUCUUAGACAUACAAUUGUACUAAGACUCGCUUAGAGGAUCAAUUGAGAUAUGGUUCUUAAUCAUUAAGACCUAUCAUAAAGCAUAAAAGGUACUCUCCCUUCUUCUUAGAAUGGAGAAACUUUUAUCUUUCUGCCUACUUGAUUCUUCUUAUUCGUUCUGCUAUUGAUUUAAACUUUUUCAAUCAAUUCAUAAUUACACUUAAUCUUGUAAGUAUAAUCAUAUUUACUAAACCUUUAGUAAAUCAUGACGAAUAUCAUUGUUACUCUUAUGGUGGACUUGAUCAACACGCAACUUUGUGUGCUCGAUCUCCUAGUCCUUCACUUGACACUUUGUCAAUGAAUUAGUCUAAUUUCCAAAAUAUGAAAAUUUUCAUUCAUCGUGCAACCGCGUUGCAUGAUUCCAAGUUUCUAUCCAAUUGAACCUUGGGCAAUGAGAAACUCUCCCUAUUUGGUAA